rnacentral:sRNA from 1 species
AUGAGGAAGCACCCAUGCAUCGAAGAUGCAUAUUAAAAUGGUGCUGACAACCUGCCGCCGAGUGAAUACGAGGGGGCAUUACAUCAU